rnacentral:rRNA from 1 species
CACUAACAAUCCUUCGGGUGCGUUAAUGGGCGUCGAGCGGCGGACGGGUGAGUAAUGCCUAGGAAAUUGCCUUGAUGUGGGGGAUAACCAUUGGAAACGAUGGCUAAUACCGCAUAAUGCCUACGGGCCAAAGAGGGGGACCUUCGGGCCUCUCGCGUCAAGAUAUGCCUAGGUGGGAUUAGCUAGUUGGUGAGGUAAUGGCUCACCAAGGCGACGAUCCCUAGCUGGUCUGAGAGGAUGAUCAGCCACACUGGAACUGAGACACGGUCCAGACUCCUACGGGAGGCAGCAGUGGGGAAUAUUGCACAAUGGGCGAAAGCCUGAUGCAGCCAUGCCGCGUGUAUGAAGAAGGCCUUCGGGUUGUAAAGUACUUUCAGUUGUGAGGAAGGGGGURSYGUUAAUAGCRRYAUCUCUUGACGUUAGCAACAGAAGAAGCACCGGCUAACUCCGUGCCAGCAGCCGCGGUAAUACGGAGGGUGCGAGCGUUAAUCGGAAUUACUGGGCGUAAAGCGCAUGCAGGUGGUUCAUUAAGUCAGAUGUGAAAGCCCGGGGCUCAACCUCGGAACUGCAUUUGAAACUGGUGAACUAGAGUACUGUAGAGGGGGGUAGAAUUUCAGGUGUAGCGGUGAAAUGCGUAGAGAUCUGAAGGAAUACCAGUGGCGAAGGCGG